rnacentral:rRNA from 1 species
AGAGUUUGAUCCUGGCUCAGGACGAACGCUGGCGGCGGGCCUAACACAUGCAAGUCUAAGGAGAAUUUCGGAGCAAUCUGAAAGGACACUGGCGCACGGGUGAGUAACGCGUAGGUAACCUACCUUCUGCUGGGGGAUAACAUCGGGAAACCGGUGCUAAUACCGCAUAAUGCAGCGGUCACGCAUGUGGCAGUUGUUAAAGAAUUUCGGCAGAAGAUGGGCCUGCGUGUCAUUAGUUAGUUGGUAAGGUAACGGCUUACCAAGACGAUGAUGACUAGGGGGUCUGAGAGGAUGAUCCCCCACACUGGAACUGAGACACGGUCCAGACUCCUACGGGAGGCAGCAGUGAGGAAUCUUGCGCAAUGGGGGAAACCCUGACGCAGCCACGCCGCGUGCCAGAUGAAGGCCCUACGGGUCGUAAAUGGCUUUUGGUCGGGAAGAUAAGCCGGGUUUCGACCUGGUGUGACGGUACCGACUGAAUAAGCACCGGCUAACUCCGUGCCAGCAGCCGCGGUAAUACGGAGGGUGCAAGCGUUGUCCGGAAUCAUUGGGUGUAAAGGGUGCGUAGGCGGAUGCCUAAGUCUGGGGUGAAAUCUUGCAGCUUAACUGUAAAAUUGCCUUGGAUACUGGGUGUCUUGAGUACAGAAGAGGAUGGUGGAAUUCGUAGUGUAGCGGUGAAAUGCAUAGAUAUUACGAAGAACACCGGUGGCGAAAGCGGCCAUCUGGUCUGUUACUGACGCUGAGGCACGAAAGCGUGGGGAGCGAACAGGAUUAGAUACCCUGGUAGUCCACGCCGUAAACGAUGUGUGCU